ensembl:lncRNA
GGUAUGGUUGUGGUUGUGUGACGUCACGGCCCUACAGCCAAUAGAGAGGUACCUCGAACGCCGCGGAAAUUUGAAAAAUUUGCUGUCUGAAGGAGCCGUAUCGGCAGUGUAUUGCUAGGUGUCUUAAAGGUAAACGGCUCCGACAUCGGUCCCAGCCAUGGACAACCUAUUGGCAGUGAAGAAGGAGAAGGCUCUCCUGGCCUGGGUGAAUAGUUUCUCUCUGGGUGACUACGCUGAGAAGAUGUGUGAGUUGAGGGACGGACGCCUGCUCAGCCAACUGCUUCUCAAACUGGGCAGGAAAGCAGCAGUGUCCUCUGAGAAAUCAAACACAAACCGAGCCGAUUCCAGCAGGUGGCAGACUUCCUGCACAAACAGUGCAGAUAUAAUGCAGACGGUGGAGCCUCCAUCAACUGGGAGAAGAUCACACACACACCCAGCGGAGACGGAGAGACCGCCACACACACACC